AUAAUAGAAUGGCAUAUUAAUUUAGUGUCAUAACAGCUUCAUUAGAUAUCCAUAUUCUAUUAGACAAAUCUCAUAUUUCACCAGGUCCUCCAGUCCCGGUUUGAGAGCGAAAGCCAGAGUUUGAUUGGGGUAACGUGUCUAAAGUACCAGAUACUUUGACGUUUCACUGUUACUGCCAUUCCAGUGGUUACACGGGUUGGACAUGUUUUGAUGUGUAAAUGACAAAAUAAAAUAUCGAACGAAACUUUA